rnacentral:lncRNA from 1 species
GAGCCGCCUGUUCUCUCCUUUUAUCCGUCCCUGAAGAUGACGCCAUGGCUUUAGCAAUCGAACUGUGUUACACAAUCGAUCAAGGAACCAGGCUUCAACAUCAACGAGGGUGAAGGUGAGGGCUCGUCAUCUUCUUUCUUUCUUGUCACGUUUCUUCCAUAUCUUACUUCUCCUUCGUCGGUGGCGGAGGCGGCUUUGAGCUUUGGCUUCGCAGCAGUCGCCGGCUUCUUCUUAGUGGGCGCAGCAGCAGCCGGAACCGGCUUGGGAGUCCGCGCGGACGGCAAUUUAAACGAGUUUUUAACUUUCGCAAGCUUCUCGUUUGCCACCAGCUUCUUCAGCUGAACGAGCAAAACCUUCCUGAAAUUCGCUGGUAGAUUCUUCUCCUUAUCCUCGAUGAACUUCGUAAUCGCGUACUGGCUCGAUCCUGUCCUCUCCUUGAGCGUGACGAUUGCAUCUUUAAUCAUCUCAAAAUAAGGAGGGUGAGUGGAGGAGCUACGCUUUCUCGGAGCAGGAACCUUCUUCUUAGCACCUUUUGGAGCAGAAACCUUCUUCACCGUGACGGAUUUCUCCG